rnacentral:rRNA from 1 species
UACGUAGGGACCAAGCGUUGUUCGGAUUUACUGGGCGUAAAGGGCGCGUAGGCGGCAAUUCAAGUCAUCUGUGAAAUCUCCGGGCUUAACUCGGAACGGUCAGAUGAUACUGCUUUGCUAGAGUGCGGAAGGGGCAAUCGGAAUUCUCGGUGUAGCGGUGAAAUGCGUAGAUAUCGAGAGGAACACCUGAGGUGAAGACGGGUUGCUGGGCCGACACUGCGCUGAGGAGCGAAAGCGUGGGGAGCGAACAGG